UGAAAAUGAAAUGUUGUAUUCCAUUUUGCAAUGAAUUAAAUUCUAGUACUUUUAAAGUACCUAAAAAUUCAUUUGAUGUAUGGUAAAAUUCCCUAAACAUAAAAUUGAAAUCAAAUUCAAGAAUUUGUGAGAAACAUUUUAAAAAAGAUGUUAUAAAGACAUGGGUUUCAGGUAGCAAACAAGAGAACCAGUAUACAGUAUGUACAUUUUAUUAUUAUUACUAUAUUACUUCAAUAGAUACUUAAGUAUUUUCAAAUAUCAUUGUUUUUCAAAUGUUAACUAAGCCAUGUAUAGCUAUAAUUUUAAUUGUUUUAAGAUAUAUUAUAAAAGACCAAAACUUCGGUUAGGACCUAUUCCUACGAUUAGUGUUACAACAGAGCAAAAUGUAUUGACUGACUUAUCAACUUCAAAAAUGCUAGGUGGUAAUGAAGGUGAAUCAAUCGAUUAUACAGAAAGCAGUGAUCAAUCAAUUUUUGUCAAUUCUAAUUGUAGUAACUCAAUCUAAUUGAUGUCUAAUAGUUGUACCAUUCCAAGAAAAAUAAAGACUCUUGAAUACACCCAAAGCAAUCCCAGUUACUCUAAUAAUAGUAACUCAUCUAUUUAUAGUGAACCUACAAAUGUAUUUGAAUAUUUAAUAAGAUCAAUAAACAUGAUUAGUUUGCCAUCAAAAUGGUUUAUGGAUAUUGAUCUUGAACUUAAGGAUCUAAAAAAAUCAUUUGUAGGAUUUCACUAGUUGGGUGUCUGUAGAGAUGAUUUUUCAAGAGUUGUUAAAAAACAAAUUAUAUUAAC